GGACGCUGGCACAGCAGAGGCAGAAGCAUCAUGAAAAAUCCCACACAAAUGGAUGAACCUGUGUGUGUGUGUGUGUGUGUGUGUGUGUUUUAUGAGGCCAAGGUCAGUGUGCUGUUGUUGUUUACCUGGAUCGCGGGUGGUUGGUACAUGCAGUUCUCUGGCUGAAUGGUUGUUUUAUUCAGAUGAAGGGCAGUGGAUCUCAUUCUGCCAAAAAAAAAAAAAAAAGCCUUCUUUGGCCCUAAUUUCCAUCAUUUUUACACAAAAACACAUGUUCCUGUAUACUUUAGAAAUGCAUUUUAUUACUGUUGAUUAUAGUCGGUAAUAACCACUAUCAAUCGUCUGUGUGUGUUUAUGUGUGUCUAUGUGUGUGUGUGUUUAGGUUGACAUGGAUACGAGCCAGUAAAAAUAAUGUAAGCUGAUCCUCCGUGUGAGAGAGAUCUGCCUGAGGCCAGAUCACAUUUACGAGAACAGGCGUCCCGUUGGUCACAUGAUGACGGUGACUCACGUUCACCUCUGGUGUCAGGGCCAAUCAGGGGUCACGAGCGCAGACAAUCGCAGGUCUCCCCUCAGACUCGACCGUGUCUCUGCGUCAGCAGAAAAACACAAGAUGUUUGCUGGAGAGGCGUUGAAGAGCGCUGGACACCGAACCAGCAGUCAGCAGAAAAACAAGGGCCGGCAGCCAACCAGACAGACGGAGGGUUAGAGAGGUCCAAAGAGCCAACGCUUCACUGAAACUCACACACAGAAGAGCGUUUGUAAGAUUGUUAGACACUGACCUGUCGUGACCACACAAAUGGAGCAAUUAACAGCCUGUUAAUGAUGAGUAAUGUCUAUCUCACCAGCUAUUUCUGUGCAAAAUAGUCCACUUUUAACCUCAUCAAUCUAUUUUUAAUCAAUAAAAUGUAUUUGUAAUUAACCUUUUCACCUGUCCGUUGGGUGUCUUAGCUCCGGAGGAACUUGCCUUACAAACCUUAUUUUAUUGGAGAUUUGAAGCAUAUUUGUAGGACACAGGGCAGUAGAAUGGAAAAAAAAAACACAAGGUUUUUCAAAAGAUGAACUUCUUUUAAAUUAAGGCAUACGAACGCAUGUGCCAGAUGCUGAAAGAGACAUGCGCAAGUAACAUUUUUUGUGCUCCACUGCACUGCUUUCCCACUUAUUUUUCUAUAAACACUCGCUAGACGGAUGUUAUUUUGGAAGUCUGUUUUCGCCACAGGGUUAAAAUAAUAACA